CUGGUGUUAUUGUUAUGUUAUUUUACGGCUCUGAUGCAGGUAACACACACACACACACACACACACACACACACACACACACACUCACACACAUGAUCGAUAGAAUGGUUUAUUAAGAAACACCAGUGGAGGACUUCAGGAUUUCUGCACUGGAUCAAGACGAACACUGAAGGGAGAAGCUGGAGACUGAUGGGAGCACCACAGAAGGUUGAGGGUGGACAGGCAGGUGAGCAAUGGGAUGCCGAGCCACAGUGUAGCCACUGAGGUAGGAACCCAGCACUGGCUGUUGGGACAGGACCCUGGGAGCAAGGAUGUAAAGAUGAGAUCAAUAAAGGAAUUCUCUAUGAAGGAGCAAGACCUGGCCGGGUUACCGCGCUAUGAGGACCAACAAUCUGGCGUCUCUCUCAGGGAUUCCUGCUCCUCUUAAGCACUUCCUGACAAUCCUGAUAAGCUACAGCUGCGGGCCCUGCCAGUCGCACCCUGCUGGAGAACAGUGAGAAGACAACAGAGAAGGAUCACACAAACCUGCGCACAGGACU